AGCAUUGGCGGGGGCGCUACCAUGCAGUCGAACGAGAAAGUGGAGCAAUCCAUGAGUACAGUGGCGUACGGGUGAGUAACACGUGGGUAAUCUACCUUUUAGUGGGGAAUAACCAGGGGAAACUCUGGCUAAUACCGCAUAAGCCUGAGAAGGGAAAGCAGCAAUGCGCUGAAAGAGGAGCCCGCGGCCGAUUAGCUAGUUGGUGGGGCAAGAGCCCACCAAGGCAGAGAUCGGUAGCCGGCCUGAGAGGGCACACGGCCACACUGGCACUGAAACACGGGCCAGACUCCUACGGGAGGCAGCAGUGGGGAAUCUUGCACAAUGGGGGAAACCCUGAUGCAGCGACGCCGCGUGAGCGAUGAAGCCCUUCGGGGUGUAAAGCUCUUUCGUCAGGGACGAUAAUGACGGUACCUGGAGAAGCAGCUGCGGCUAACUACGUGCCAGCAGCCGCGGUAAUACGUAGGCAGCAAGCGUUGUUCGGAGUUACUGGGCGUAAAGGGUGUGUAGGCGGUUCUUUAAGUUUGGUGUGAAAUCUCCCGGCUCAACUGGGAGGGUGCGCCGAAUACUGAGGGACUAGAGUACGGGAGAGGAAAGUGGAAUUCCUGGUGUAGCGGUGAAAUGCGUAGAUAUCAGGAGGAACACCGGUGGUGUAGACGGCUUUCUGGACCGUAACUGACGCUGAGACACGAAAGCGUGGGUAGCAAACAGGAUUAGAUACCCUGGUAGUCCACGCCCUAAACGAUGCAUAUUUGGUGUGGGCAGUUCAUUCUGUCCGUGCCGGAGCUAACGCGUUAAAUAUGCCGCCUGGGGAGUACAGUCGCAAGGCUGAAACUCAAAGGAAUUGACGGGGGCCCGCACAAGCGGUGGAGCAUGUGGUUCAAUUCGACGCAACGCGAAGAACCUUACCUGGGCUCGAACGGCUUCUCAACGUCGGUAGAAAUACUGAUACCCCGCAAGGGGGUGGAGUCGAGGUGCUGCAUGGCUGUCGUCAGCUCGUGUCGUGAGAUGUGGGUU
rnacentral:rRNA from 1 species